rnacentral:rRNA from 1 species
UACGAAGGGGGCUAGCGUUGUUCGGAUUUACUGGGCGUAAAGCGCACGUAGGCGGAUCGAUCAGUCAGGGGUGAAAUCCCAGAGCUCAACUCUGGAACUGCCUUUGAUACUGUCGAUCUGGAGUAUGGAAGGGGUGAGUGGAAUUCCGAGUGUAGAGGUGAAAUUCGUAGAUAUUCGGAGGAACACCAGUGGCGAAGGCGGCUCACUGGUCCAUUACUGACGCUGAGGUGCGAAAGCGUGGGGAGCAAACAGG